CAGUCGCCGCGGUAAUACGGAGGGGGCUAGCGUUGUUCGGAAUUACUGGGCGUAAAGCGCACGUAGGCGGCUUGGUAAGUUAGAGGUGAAAGCCCGGAGCUCAACUCCGGAAUUGCCUUUAAGACUGCCGAGCUAGUAGGUGAGAGAGGUAAGUGGAAUUCCGAGUGUAGAGGUGAAAUUCGUAGAUAUUCGGAAGAACACCAGUGGCGAAGGCGGCUUACUGGCUCAUUCUAGACGCUGAGAUGCGAAAGCGUGGGGAGCAAACAGGAUUAGAUACCCCCGUAGUCCCUGUCUCUUAUAA
rnacentral:rRNA from 1 species